rnacentral:lncRNA from 1 species
UCAUAAAUUUUCAACCCAUUCUCACCUCAUUUGCUAUUUUCCAAGCAUUAAAUGAUUUUCUUGAGCUAAAUGACCCUGAAAUUGAAAAGCGCUACAAAUCAACUUGGAAAAGUGUGAAACUUGGCAUGGUAUCAUCAUUUCACCCACAUGGCAUGUGCUAAAAAAUUGGAAGGGUUAUGGAAAAAUCGUGAUGCACUUCGUGUACAAACUGGAUUAUCAUUUUAC